UACGUAGGUGACAAGCGUUGUCCGGAUUUACUGGGCGUAAAGAGCGCGCAGGCGGUCGUUCAAGUCGAGUGUGAAAGCCCCCGGCUCAACUGGGGAGGGUCAUUCGAUACUGAUCGACUCGAAGGCAGGAGAGGGAAGUGGAAUUCCCGGUGUAGUGGUGAAAUGCGUAGAUAUCGGGAGGAACACCAGUGGCGAAGGCGACUUCCUGGCCUGUUCUUGGCGCUGAGGCGGCGAAAGCUAGGGGAGCAAACGGGG
rnacentral:rRNA from 1 species